ensembl:lincRNA
UAGAACUCAGAGCUUGCCCCUGCCCUUGGUCCGUGAGGGCAGGCCUUCUAAGGGACUAGUUUGUUUAAGCAGGGGGAUCGUUAUCGUUUGGGACAAGAAUCAGGAUGAGUAGCUUAAGGGGGCAGGCAUUUCCAAAUAGAAGGGGUUGGAGAAGUACCGUACCCACGCCUUCAAAUGGGCGGUCCAGUCCCGCCUCAAAGAUUUUCUAUCCACACCUUCUCUGGCAAAAGAAAAGUGGGUGUCCGAGAGCGCUAUUUUGGGAUAAAGGUUCAGGAAUAAUGAACCUUUUAGUAAGACGUGAGCUAUUCAGAAAUGUGGUCGUUUCUGUGAAGAAGCCCUGGAUCUACCUCAGAGUAAAAGUCUGGAAAACAAUUUUCCAAGCAAAUGGUCCCAAAAGACAAGAUGGAAUAGCCAUUCUAAUGUUGAAUAAAAUCAACUUCCAACCCAAAGUUACCAAAAAAGACAAGGAGGGGCAUUUCAUACUCAUCAAAGGUAAAAUCUUCCAAGAUGAACUCUCAAUUCUGAAUAUCUAUGCUCCAAAUGCAAGGGCAGCCACAUUCAUUAAAGAAAUUAUAGUAAAGCUCAAU